rnacentral:tRNA from 1 species
GGAGGCGUCCGGGCACCUGGUGGGCCCCCCGGUCUUCAAAACCGGUGUGGGGGCGAGAGCUCCCAGGCGGGUUCGAUUCCCGUCCGCCUCCGCAA